rnacentral:rRNA from 1 species
CAGUAGCCGCGGGAAUACAGAGGGUGCGAGCUUUAAUCGGAUUUACUGGGCGUAAAGCGUGCGUAGGCGGCUUCUUAAGUCGGAUGUGAAAUCCCUGAGCUUAACUUAGGAAUUGCAUUUGAUACUGGGAAGCUAUAGUAUGGGAGAGGAUGGUAGAAUUCCAGGUGUAGCGAUGAAAUGCGUAGAGAUCUGGAGGAAUACCGAUGGCGAAGGCAGCCAUCUGGCCUAAUACUGACGCUGAGGUACGAAAGCAUGGGGAGCAAACAGGAUUAGAUACCCCAGUAGUCCCUGUCUCUUAUAC